rnacentral:rRNA from 1 species
GAUGAACGCUGGCGGCGUGCCUAAUACAUGCAAGUCGAGCGGACGGACGAGAAGCUUGCUUCUCUGAUGUUAGCGGCGGACGGGUGAGUAACACGUGGAUAACCUACCUAUAAGACUGGGAUAACUUCGGGAAACCGGAGCUAAUACCGGAUGAUAUUUUGAACCGCAUGGUUCAAAAGUGAAAGACGGUCUUGCUGUCACUUAUAGAUGGAUCCGCGCUGCAUUAGCUAGUUGGUAAGGUAACGGCUUACCAAGGCAACGAUGCAUAGCCGACCUGAGAGGGUGAUCGGCCACACUGGAACUGAGACACGGUCCAGACUCCUACGGGAGGCAGCAGUAGGGAAUCUUCCGCAAUGGGCGAAAGCCUGACGGAGCAACGCCGCGUGAGUGAUGAAGGUCUUCGGAUCGUAAAACUCUGUUAUUAGGGAAGAACAUAUGUGUAAGUAACUGUGCACAUCCUGACGGUACCUAAUCAGAAAGCCACGGCUAACUACGUG